CAGUGGUCAGCUUUGUGCAAUGGAUUAAAUGCAAUAUAUUUCUCAUAUUGUUUGCUCUAUUUUCUACGAUGAGCAUUCAUUUAGAAAAAUUUUUUAAAUUUUUUAGUUAAUAGUGCCUCUGAAGCACCUCUCAAGUCCUACCUCCUGCGGCUCCUUUAACAGCGGCCAAGACACCGAAGAGGCGGGGGUGCCAGACAGGCUGACGUCAUGGGCAGCCCGAAAUGACACAGCGAACCGGCCAAUCCCAAGUUUGGAUUCCGGGAGAAGCACGAUCUAUUGGAUACAAGUGCUGGUGGCCUCGGCCAAUGGUGGGAGAGGGGCCGGAGCCCGGCGGCUGCGUGGGUUUUAAAUCCACGUGGUGGCUGCGGGGCGGGGCGCGGGGCCUCGGUGUUUAAAGGCUUUGGGUCCGCCGGGGCUGCAGCGGCGGCUCCGAAGCGCUUGUUCUUUUUUGUGAAAGGCGAUUCCUCCACCACCUCUUAGGAUCUUGGGCAAGUCAGUCAGCCUCGCUGAGCCUGUUUGCAUCAGUAGGGUUUUGUGAGGCUCCAGCCCUUCAACAGAACAUUUGCUGAGCAUCUACUGUGUGCCCAGCAGGGCCUUCUUAGAUCAGGUAUAAGGCAGGAGGGAAGCGUCGGGAGUCCCAGGCCUGCUGCCUCUGUAACCACGGGCAGGUGGUUCAACAUUACCUCCUCUUCUUCCCCACUGCUCUGCCCCGUCCUGGCUUUUAUUGUAUCUCCUCUAAAAGGGUGUGAGCUCCACGGGGAGGUACCCAUGUGCCUUGAGGAAGAUCUGCCCCAGUUUAUAUUCAAUAGGUACUUUUUGAAUAAUUAUUGCAAAGACUAGUUCUCAGCACAGAGCUUAACACAUAGGAGGUGUUUGAUAAAUGGCAAUUGUUCAUGCAAUACAGAACAAUAGCAGGCCAGGUGCGCGGUGGCUCACACCUGUAAUCUUAGCACUUUGGGAGUCUGAGGCAGGAUUAUUGCUUGAGCCCAGGAGUUUGAGACCCCUGGGCAAUGGUAGUGGGACCUCAUCUCUUAAAAAAAGAAAAAAAGAAAAGAAAAAGAAAGACAGAAAUAUAUUAGCCAGGUGUCUUGGUGCAUGCCAGUAGUCCCAGUUAAUUAGGAGGCUGAGGCAGGAGGAUGGCUUGAGCCCAGGAGUUUGAGGCUGCAGUGAGCUAUGAUUGUGCCACUGCACUCCAGCCCGGGCAACAGAACGAGGCCCUGUCUCCAACAGCAACAACAGCAAAGAAGAGCAGAUAGCACUGAUGAAAUGCCUAUUACGUGUAAAGUGGUGUUCUGGGCAUUUCACAUGUAUUACAUGCAAUUUAACAUUAACAAAAUUACAAGUCUUACAUAACAAUAUUCACACAAAAAACAAAUUAGUCACCAUUAUUAUUCCUAUUUUGCUGAUGUGGAAACCAAGGCAGAGAGAGGCGAGGUAAGUUUUCUAAGGUCGCGUGGCUAGGAGGUGGUGGGGCUUGAUUCAAAUCCAGGUCUGUCUACUCCUGGGGCCCUUGUUCUUAACCCCUGCGCUAUCCCAAUACUUGUCUAGUACUCAGCCUUUUUUUUCCAAGAACGUUCUAAGUUAGGCCUGUGCUAGUGGGAAGUGGGAGAGGAGGGGAUAGGAAUCAGGUGGGUGAGGCAGAGCCAGGUGAGCUGGGGUCCUGCCCCCUAUGGCAUGGCCCAGCCCUAUGGGGUGGCAUUGGGCAGGAAGAGGGGCAGUGAGACACACAGCCACUGAGGCCACGUGUCCUGUAAACAGGCUACCUGCUUGCCAGGCCCUGUGCUGGGCUGGUGGGGGGCAGUGCGGGGCAGUGCUGGGCAUGACACACCCUCCCUGCCCUCAUGGGGCUGUCAGUCUAAACCAGCUACCACUAAUGGUGACCUGAGUGCAGCCUGCAGGAGGGGUUUUGAUUUUGCCUGCAUGGUAUUUAAACACUUUUUAAACAUGAAUUGCCUCGGUCCCCACCCCUCCCUAGUGUCACAGAUGUCAGCUUUACUCAUGUGUCCCACCAGCUCCUGAAUGCCCUGAGCAGCUUUGUUCCCUGGUCUCCCCAUGCCAGCAGCCCGCGGGGUUGGGGGGGGGCCUCUGUGGCUGGCACACAGUGAUUGCCCUGGCUUUCUUUGCUUUGCCUCCUGUCUGUGUUUGAAAUCCCGAAAUCACCACCUUGAGCUCUGAAGCCCAGCGGCUCCGAGGCUGCAAGCCUCUCCGCUGGCCCCAGAUGUGCAGCAUGCAGCUUGAAUCUCUGAGGACUCUGGUGGUGGAUGCCAACUCCGAGACCCAGCCUGCCACCCUCCAGGGAGCCGUGGAGAUUUCAGGAUUUCUCCUCUGCGAAAUGGGGAUAACAGCUCCCUCUUCAUCCGGUUAUGGUCAGGGCUGACCUAAGGAGGCUGAGUGCCAAGACCCGAAUUUGCUGCUCCUCACUGACCACUGGCAAGAGCUUCUCAGCCCGUGGCCUUCACCCUCAGCCCCUGGGUGCCCUUUACCCUUGGAGACACUUGCAAAUCUGACAAGCAUGGGUUCUGUGACUUCAUCUGAGUGACUGACGAGCACCCAGAAGAGGACAGACCCCACUGCAGAGAAAGCCGGGGCUUCCUCUUAGACAAGCCCCUCCCAGUCAACGCAUCUUUCACUCAUGUCCUCUCCCAACAAAAGCGUGGAACAGGAAAGUAUCUGCUCUUCACAGCGUCACAUGCUCUAUUUAAAAACAACUUUUGGGAGGAGAGGAGGGAGCAGAACAGAUGUUUGGCCAUGUUAAAUUUACACAGUGAUUGUAGGUUGCAGCCUCCUGCCUGAAAGAUUAAAAUAUGAAAAAAAUGCAUCUCAGAAACACAACAAUAACAACCCCAGCCCCUGUGGUGCACUCACUACAGGGAGGCGCUGUGCUGGGGGCUUUGGAGCUGGAGCGGCUCCAUGUCAACUCCUCAGCAACCCUUGGAGGUUGGUGUUAUCACACCAUUUUACAGAUAAGCUACGACCUCCAAGCCUCAGUUUCCUUAUCUGUAAAAUGAGAGGGAGGCAGAGGGAGAUUCAACAUGUGCAGAGAGAUUAAACACACACAGAGGAGAAGGCCAUGGGAAGACAGAAGCAGAGACGGGGUAGAGGCAGAGAGCAGGCAGAGGGAGGCAGAGACAGAGACCAGGAUGGAGAGGGAGAGGUAGAGACCGGGGUAGGGGGGAGGCAGAGACUGGAAGCAGAGACCAGGCAGGGGGAGAAAGAAACCUGGGAGGAGGCAGAGACUAGAGGCAGAGACCCAGAGGAGGCAGAGACUGGAGUGAUACAGCCAUGAGCCAAGGGACACGGGCACACAGGCAGCCAUCAGGAGCUGGCAGAGGCAGGUGGGACCCCAAUGGGGCCUCUGGAGGGAGCCUGGCCCUGCUGACACUUUAAUUUUGGUCCUGCAAUAACUGAUUUUGAACUUUCGUCCCCUAGAACUGUGGGAGGAUCAAUGCUGCUUGAAGCCAUCAGUUUCUGGGAAUUUGUCACAGCAGCCCAGGAAACACAUGCAGAAGGUUUGGAGAUUGGUCUUUCUGAUGACUAGGGUGCUUGGUGCCCAUUUCAACACUCUCUGCCCUCAGUGGCACAUUCAGACCGCGUUGACUUGGGCAAUGGUGAGGGAAAUGCAAAGGUGAGCCAAAAAUACCUGGUCUCUGUCUUUGGGGGGACUUAAAACAACAGCAGCUCAUUCUGUCGCAGUCCAAGAGGCCAGAAGUCCAGAAUCACGAUGCCAGUGGGGCUGGCCCCUCUAGGGGCUCCAGGGAGAAUCUCCAGCAUUUCUCUCCUGGCCUGGUGGCUGCUGGCUCCUCUGGCGAUGUGUGGCAUGUGGACGCGUCACAGAGAUCGGCAGGCAGAUCUCUGCCUCUGUCUGUGCAUGGUCUUCCUCUCCGUGUGUGACUCUCUGUGUCUUCACUUGGGCUUCUCACAGGGACACCAGUCACUGGAUUUAGGGUGCACUCAAAUCCAGUAUGACCCAUCCAAACUCAUGACAUUUGAAAAGACCCUUUUUCCAAAUAUGGUCACAUCUGAGGUCCCAGGUAGAUAUGAAAUUUGGGUGACACUGUGCAACCCAGUACCAUCCCUUUUUUUUGAGACAGAGUCUUGCUCUGUCACCCAGGCUGGAGUGCAGUGGCGCAAAUAUGGCUCACUGCAACCUCUGCCUCCCAGGUUCACGCCAUUCUCCUGCCUCAGCCUCCCAAGUAGCUGGGACUACAGGCGCCCGCCACUGCGCCUGGCUAAUUUUUUGUAUUUUUAGUAGAGACGGGGUUUCACCAUGUUAGCCAAGAUUGUCUCGAUCUCCUGACCUCGUGAUCCACCCUCCUUGGCCUCCCAAAGUGCUGGGAUUACAGGCGUGAGCCAGCGCGCCUGGCCCAGCACCAUCCCUUUUUGCAGGAGUCACCCUCUUUGGUUUCUGAAAUGGGGACACACGUUACAAUGGAAACGAGCACUUGGGGCUCCCUGUCUCGGAAAAGUUGUUGAAUCAAUGCACGUUGAUUGCUUCAGCAAUCUAGGAAAUACUAUUGUUCCGUCCCUGAUGAUUUGGUUAUGACCAAAGCAGACACAAUCGCUGACCUCAGGGAGCAUGUGUUCUGGUGCAAGAACUGACGCCCAACAAAGCAAUUUGAAAUUCCAAACCUGUGACCACUGGACAAGAUCACCUUUCUCCCACUGAGAAGAAGAUCAGCGUUGGCUCGGGCCAAGUCUGGGAGACAGACAAGGCCUCCUUUCAACAUCGUGCCUCCAGGGGAACCAGGCCAAGUAUCGGCCCUCCAGAGACAGCUGCAGCCCUUGGAGGCCUCCCCACUGAGUCCACACCCCUGGCCCAGGGCACUCAGGCUGGCUGACCGGCCCUGCUCCCUGGCCAGCCUCAUUUCCUCCUGUUCUCUUGCUUGGUGCCCCUAGCAGCCGUCUUGCACCUGGCCACUGCUUCCCACGCCAGGGCCUUUGCCUUUGCUGUUCCCCUGCCUGGCAUGGUCUCGUCAUUCAGGGCUCAGCCUGAAUGUCACCUCCUCCUGGAAGCCUUACCCUCAUCUCAUUAUGUCCUACCCUAUCACCCUAUUUCUUUCCCUUGGGUCACCAGUAAGAACCUGGGUUGAGCGUGUGCAGCCAUCUCAUUGUCUUUGCCUCACUAAACUGUAAACCCUUUGACAAUAGGGAUCUGUCUGGUUUGUUUGACGUGUAACCCCAGCUUCCAGCCUAGCACAGAGAAAGCUCCAUGGAGACACUGACUGUCAGAUGACUGCAGACC